rnacentral:rRNA from 1 species
UACGUAGGGGGCAAGCGUUGUCCGGAUUUAUUGGGCGUAAAGAGCGUGUAGGCGGCCAGGUAGGUCAGCUGUGAAAACUCGAGGCUCAACCUCGAGACGUCGGUUGAAACCAUCUGGCUAGAGUCCGGAAGAGGAGAGUGGAAUUCCUAGUGUAGCGGUGAAAUGCGCAGAUAUCAGGAAGAACACCCGUGGCGAAGGCGGCUCUCUGGGACGGUACUGACGCUGAGGCGCGACAGCGUGGGGAGCAAACAGG